rnacentral:rRNA from 1 species
AGGACGAACGCUGGCGGCGUGCUUAACACAUGCAAGUCGAACGGAAAGGCCCUUCGGGGUACUCGAGUGGCGAACGGGUGAGUAACACGUGGGUGAUCUGCCCCUGACUCUGGGAUAAGCCUGGGAAACUGGGUCUAAUACCGGAUAUUCACUUCCUGCUUAUGGUGGGUGGUGGAAAGCUUUUGCGGUUGGGGAUGGGCCCGCGGCCUAUCAGCUUGUUGGUGGGGUAAUGGCCUACCAAGGCGACGACGGGUAGCCGACCUGAGAGGGUGAUCGGCCACACUGGGACUGAGACACGGCCCAGACUCCUACGGGAGGCAGCAGUGGGGAAUAUUGCACAAUGGGCGCAAGCCUGAUGCAGCGACGCCGCGUGAGGGAUGACGGCCUUCGGGUUGUAAACCUCUUUCGCUAGGGACGAAGCGCAAGUGACGGUACCUAGAUAAGAAGCACCGGCCAACUACGUGCCAGCAGCCGCGGUAAUACGUAGGGUGCGAGCGUUGUCCGGAAUUACUGGGCGUAAAGAGCUCGUAGGCGGUUUGUCGCGUCGUCUGUGAAAUUCUGCAGCUUAACUGCAGGCGUGCAGGCGAUACGGGCAGACUUGAGUACUACAGGGGAGACUGGAAUUCCUGGUGUAGCGGUGAAAUGCGCAGAUAUCAGGAGGAACACCGGUGGCGAAGGCGGGUCUCUGGGUAGUAACUGACGCUGAGGAGCGAAAGCGUGGGGAGCGAACAGGAUUAGAUACCCUGGUAGUCCACGCCGUAAACGGUGGGUACUAGGUGUGGGUCUCAUUUCACGGGAUCCGUGCCGUAGCUAACGCA